rnacentral:rRNA from 1 species
GACGAACGCUGGCGGCGCGCUUAACACAUGCAAGUCGAGCGAAGCGGCGAACGGGUGAGUAACACGUGAGUAAACUGGCUUAGACAUUGGGAUAGACUCGGGAACCCGGGAUUAAUACCAAAUGGUCUAAGAUGGACUCGAGUCCCAUUAGCUAGUUGGUGGGUAACGGCCCACCAAGGCGACGUUGGGUAGCCGGCCAGAGUGGGUGAACGGCCACAUUGGAACGGAGAAACGGUCCAAACUCUACGGGAGGCAGCAGUGGGGAAUAUUGCACAAUGGAGUGAACUCUGAUGCCGCGACGCCUGGUGAACGAAGAAGGCUUUCGAGUCGUAAAGUUCUUUUAUAUGGGAAGCGGUACCAUAAGAAAAAGCCCCGGCUAACUACGUGCCAGCAGCCGCGGUAAUAC